GGAUUAGAUACCCUGGUAGUCCACGCCCUAAACGAUGUCAACUAGCUGUUGGGGCCUUCGGGCCUUGGUAGCGCAGCUAACGCGUGAAGUUGACCGCCUGGGGAGUACGGUCGCAAGAUUAAAACUCAAAGGAAUUGACGGGGACCCGCACAAGCGGUGGAUGAUGUGGAUUAAUUCGAUGCAACGCGAAAAACCUUACCUACCCUUGACAUGUCUGGAAUGCCGAAGAGAUUUGGCAGUGCUCGCAAGAGAACCGGAACACAGGUGCUGCAUGGCUGUCGUCAGCUCGUGUCGUGAGAUGUUGGGUUAAGUCCCGCAACGAGCGCAACCCUUGUCAUUAGUUGCUACGAAAGGGCACUCUAAUGAGACUGCCGGUGACAAACCGGAGGAAGGUGGGGAUGACGUCAAGUCCUCAUGGCCCUUAUGGGUAGGGCUUCACACGUCAUACAAUGGUCGGGACAGAGGGUCGCCAACCCGCGAGGGGGAGCCAAUCCCAGAAACCCGAUCGUAGUCCGGAUCGCAGUCUGCAACUCGACUGCGUGAAGUCGGAAUCGCUAGUAAUCGCGGAUCAGCAUGUCGCGGUGAAUACGUUCCCGGGCCUUGUACACACCGCCCGUCACACCAUGGGAGUGGGUUGCAAAAGAAGUAGGUAGCUUAACCUUCGGGAGGGCGCUUACCACUUUGUGAUUCAUGACUGGGGUGAAGUCGUAACAAGGUAGC
rnacentral:rRNA from 1 species